CACAUUCAACUCUUUUUUAUUAGUUACUUUCAUAAAUUCAUUUUCUGAAUAUUUUUCCAGUUUUUAAAACAAUGGCUUAGCUUUCAAAUUCACAUAAUAAGGAUUUAUCUGUCAUGUUCUCUGUAUCACCUAGAUGUUAAAUUAACACCCAUCUGUUUUAUUAAUGACUAAAUGUAUACACACAUAUUACAUAUUUUCAUAGCCGAGCUAAUAAAAUACACACGUGUGUGUAUUUGUAUGUCAUCUUGUAUUUUAUAGGUAUAUUUCAUAUUUUUGUUUUACUUUUUCUCUUGAAGUUUUUAAUUGAUACUUUUAAAAUUUACUUAUUUUUAAAUAUAAGUAUCAUUAACUGAGCCCACACUGUCCAACAAAUAAAAAGCUCCCCUUGAAGGAAUCAAAUAUCUACUCGCUUUACCAUUAUUUUUCCGAGCAGACAUCCCUCCAGUGUAGACUGAGCCCUCUCCAGGGUUUCUGAAGUCUUCUCUCGUCGUCAUCCUGAGAAUUCCCUUCAGCUCUGUGCUGGGUCUCCUUUUCCUGAUCUCAAGCCAUCCCUUCUCUUUGUUUUCUUUUCCUUCCUCAUUUUGUUGAAACAUGGCCUUCAGUAGCUGGAGAAGAAGUGGUGCAAAACUACUUUACUUUUUGUGAACCUGUAUGUACAAAAAUAUCUACUACACUCUUCUUGACUUCAGAGAUUUAGUAAGUAGAAUUCUAAGUAGGAAACCAUUUUCUCUUCAAAUUUGGAAGACACUUCUGCAGUUUAGUGUAGUUAUACUGCAAUGUUGUUAGGGAGAAAUCUGAAGCUUUUUUGACUCCCAUCAUUUGGUUUUGAUCUAUCUUUUCUCUCUGAAAGCUUUUUAAUAUAUUAACUUUGUCUCUGAUAUUUUGACACCUUACAAUAAAAUGACUUAGUUUUCUGAAUUUUAAAAUUACUUUUCAGGCCUUCAGAUGAAGUCUUUCAUUCUAGAUGCUCUUGUUCUUUCAGAUUUUGGGAAUAUUUUAGUAGUGUUUCCUUGGUAAUUGUUCUAAAUUUUUAUUCUAUUUGAAAGGCAGAGACAUACAGAGAGAAGUAGAGACAGGAAGACAGAUGGAGAGAGAGAUCUUCCAUCCAAUGCUUCACUCCCCAGGUUUCCUCAACUGCUAGGGCUGGACCAGGCUGGGAGCCCAGAACUCUCUCUACAUCUCCCAUAUGGGUGGCAAAUAGUCGAGGCACCAUCCACUGCCUCCCAGGCUGUACCUUAGCAGAAAGUUGGUUCCGGAGUAGAGUAGUCAGGACUUGAACCAGCUGGUUCUGGUAGAACAUGAUGGUGAAGAGCCAUGGUCUCUGGGAAUGGAAAGCAUAUACUGAGGGAGAGAGGAAGAUGCCUGAGGCAACCUAUUUUGAAGAUUUAUUUUGCUCAAAAUUCUAGAGGUUCAAGGGCUUGGCACUGGCAUUAGUCCCACUUUGGUAAAGACAUCAAGGUGGAUGGUAUCUUGAUGGUGAGAACAAGGAAUCACAUCACCAGACAGGAAUCCAAGAGCCCAGGAAAUGGCAAGGCUUGUUCUUUUAGUAACAACACUUACUAGAGAACUGACACAAAAAUCCCAUGAGAACAAUGUCGGUCCCUUUCAAGGGCAGUGUCCCCAGUGACCUAAGGACUUCUCACAGGCCCACCCCUGAAGCUCUUAUCACUUCCCAUGUCACCAACACAUGAACUUUUGAGGGACAAGUCACACCCAAACUGUACAUCAUGGCCUUCUCUGUUACAACAAGGAUUAUCAGAGUAUGAUGUGAGGCAAAUAUAGACAAAUACACACAAUCUAUGCAACCAUCAGGAAGGUGAGGUUUUAACAACGAGUAAGAAAGUAACAUGUUAGAAAGGAGGUAGGGCUGGCCGGCGCCGAGGCUCAAUCAGCUGAUCCUCUGCCUGCGGGACCAACACCCCAGGUUCUAGUCCCGGUAGGGGCGCCAGAUUCUGUUCCUGUUGCCCCUCUUCUAGUCCAGCUCUCUGCUGUGGCCCGGGAGUGCAGUGGAGGAUGGCCCAAGUCCUUGGGUCCUGCACCCGCAUGGGAGACCAGGGGAAGCACCUGGCUCCUGGCUUCAGAUCAGCGCGGUGCACCGGCCACAGCAGCCAUUGGAGGGUUAACCAACAGAAAGGAAGACCUUUCUCCCUGUCUCUCCCUGUCUCUCUCUGUCUCUCUCACUGUCCACUCUGCCUGUAUAAAAAAUAAAAAAAAAAAAAGAGGUAGGGAUCUGCAAAGAGCAUUUGGAAACUUGAUGUUUUGAAAUGUUCAUGAUAAUACUAUUAUAUGAAUAUGUUCACAGUGAACAAUGUGCAGGUUUUUAAAACUCUUGGCUAAAUAAUUUUAGGGAUGUUCCAAGUGAAGAAUUUAAGUAGAUUUUUGAACCCAUUUGUGAAAAAUAUAGAAAUACCUUACCUCCUAAUUAGCUUGCAAUGGAAUUAAAGAAAAAUGGAAGUUUGCUAGCUGGUUUAUAACAAAUAUCUUGGAUUGAUUAAUGGGCGAGAUUGAAAAAGGAUAUAACAGUAUUCAUUUCUUAGCAGUUAAUUUAUUAAAAUGACAUACGUAUGAGGGAGUCUUCAGAAAGUUCAGGGAAAGUACACAUUAUAAAAAAAUUCUCCAUGGAUUUCAAAACUUUUACACUCACAAGAUAAUUAACUUAAUCUUUUAAUUCAGUUUUUCCAUAAACUUUUUGAAGCACUGGAGUGCAUGUUCAAAUUCUGUGCUUACAAUAUUUGUUUGUUAGGAAUGUUAGUGAAAAAACAAAGACUAUGAGUUUAAAAUCAAAGAUUUGAAGUAGAAUGAUCUAAAUUUGAAUCUCAGUUUUGUUAUUUAUUAGCAAGAUGAACGUGGGAACAUUUGCAUCCAAUUUUCUAAUUCCUCAACUUCGAAAAUAUUCAAGGCCUGCAAGAAAUAGGGAGAUGUUGACCAAAGGGUACAACUUUGAGUCAUAAGUUAAGUAGGUUCUGGAGCCAUCACAUCCAGAAUGAAGAUAGUAUAUAAUAUUAUAUUGUAUGUUGAAAUUUGCUAAAAAUAAGUCUUAAGUGUUCUCACCACAUUACACUUACAAGGUAACUCUGUGAGGUAUUGGAUAUGUUAAUUCAGUUCACUGUCAUUUCUCUAUGUGCUCAUACAUUAAAAUAUCACAUUGUACAGCUUACAUACAUCCAAUUUUUGUCAAUUAUAUCUCAAUACAACUAAGAAAAAAUUACUCAGACAUAAAAAUAACAUAGAGUAUAUUCAAAGUGUUUAAUCAAAAGCCUAGACAACAGUAACUUUCAAUAACUUUUGUCUAUCAGUAAUUAUGAAAUGAUGCUGAUAGUGAUAAUGAUGUAGCCUGCAGACCUGCCCUUAUGUGAUGAAAGAGAAUAUUUACAGAUUCCUGGUCCUUUUCAAAGCUAGUGUGCUAGCUAACUGAUGACUCACUUCUAGCAAAAGCUGAGCUAUAUUAAAUAGUGUUUGCAUUGGGUCCUCUAAAAAUGAUGGCAAAUAUAUGGAAGGAAUCCCAUCUUUCUCUCCUGUACCCAUGCGAGUAACUGUUCUUCUGUCUUGAGAAUGGAAGCCUUGAUAAAUUCUCAAUUCCAAUUGUAUCCAGGGAGUCACUACUGUGGUGGGCAGAAGAGUUGGGACCUGGUUGCCAACUCCGGCUCAGGGAGUAUUCAGCUCCUCCUUUGUUCUUGGAUUGUUCCCUUUUGUCCACAGGCUGUGGCUUUGGCCACUUCAUUGAACCCCUCAUAGUAUGAUUUUAAGGACAAGUAAUGCUGAUUUGUGUGUUACCAGGAAGCUCAGAUACUAACAUAGUUUGUGCUGUACAAGGACCCUUUCAUGUGUAUUUUCGUUGUGCUGAUGAGAAGUGGGAGCACUGUAGAGCAAAGGCAGGAAUUUAUAACAACAGCUGGAGAAUAGAAGUGGACACUUGACCUCCACGUCAGGGAACAACCUUCCAGACCCAGGGCCUUGUGCUCUGUGAACGAGAAUGUGAGAAGACUGGACUAGCGGGCAGUGACCCCUCAUCUGCUCAUUUCCCUUAAGAUCAUUUGCCUUAUCAAAUGAAACAGAUACAGUAAGUAAGUAAUAUUUCACUUAGUAUAGGAGUCUAUCUUUAACAAUCCAGUUGUGCAACUCUUCUUAGAAGAGUUUAUCUCGAUGGACAUUGUGGUAUGAUCAGGGAUUCCAAGAGCGUUGUAGAAAAUAGGGUGUCUGGAAGGGGUCUGAGGGCCGGGGAAAGAGGACAGAACAGGGAGGUUAGGGGCCCAUGUGUCUGGGCUCCUGCAGCAGCUCCUGUGCAUCAUCUCCCACAGGUGCUUGCCCUCUGUUCCUUAGAGGCUUCAGGAACACCCUCUGUCAUUUGAAUGCACUUGAGAUGCCAGUGUCUUGCCUAAUCCUUCAUUUGCUAUUCACAUUGGGAGUUCUUAGCUCAUCAAAGCCUGCAACUAACUUCAAAUGAAAGAAAAGAAAGUCUACAGAGUACAGCUGAUCAUAUCACUAAACUUACCAAAUGUGUUUACAGAACUGUCAACCAGCAUAACUUGGUCAGUUUUUCUGGUUUGUGGUUAAAGGCAGAACUCAGCCUUGGAAUAGGACUGCAUAGGAUCAAUUUGAAAAGCCUCUUUCUUUAAACAUGUGAACAACUUCUAUGGAAAGCCCCAACCCACAAGCUAAAAAAAUCACAGUUUUAUUUGUAAUAGAUUCAUCAAAACUCUCUUUUAAAUUUGAAAGACCUUGUAUAUAGCAUUUUCUCCAUGCAAGUAGCCAUUUGUGUGUAAUCAUGGAGAAUUAGCAUUAAUGGCCCUCUGAGGGUUCUUGACUGAUAUCCAGAUCCUCGGGGAUUUUUUUUUAUUUGAAAGAGUUACAGAAAUAGAGGGACAGACAGAUAAAGAGAGAGAUCUUCCUUCUGCUGGUUCACUCUUCAAAUGGCAACAAUGACCAGGACUGGGCCAGGCUGAAGCUAGGUUGUAGGAGCUUCAUGUGGGUCUUCCCCUUGGGUGGCAGGGCCCAAGCACUUGGACCAUCUUCUGCUGCUUUCCCAGGCCAUUAUCAGGGAGCUGGAUGGGAAGAGGAGCAGCCAGGACAAGAAUGGGUCCCAUAUGUGAUGCUGGUGUCUUAAGUGGUGGCUAACCUGCUGUAGCACAAUAUCAGCCCCCAAAAUCCUCAUAAAAAAAGUGAAGCCUAGACCAUCUAAUGAUGUAUCCAUGAUCAUAUGGAUCAGUGUGGGCAGAGUCAAGACUAGAGCCGGGUUUUUGAAACCUAAUCCAGCUUUAUUGUCAACAACUUAAGGUUUCCUGAACGCCGUGCUCCUGGGCCUGAUGGAGUUCAUCUGCACUAGGGAUUCUGCAUCUGUUCUCAGCUAAUUCCUGGGGAACGAUUAAUGGUUCCGCUAGAAACCAUGGUCCCUAAUUGUACCUCUCAGGAAGCACAGAUGACUCAGCCAUCCAACCUGCUGCAUGCUGAAAUGAAUCAGAGUGAAGCACUUUGAGCAUUUUCAUUGUGUGAAAAGACUGUCAGUUGCCUGGAUACCAGAGUGAAAAAUAUAAAGUAAUUGUGCUUCUGUAUGGCCACAGAGGAAGGAUAUUUAAUUGUCACCAGGAAGCCUGAGAAGAGGAGUCAAAGGCCAAGCCCCCAACAGAUGUGAAACAUUGGUUAAAUUCAGUGGAUUUGUCUUGCCACAGUAUUGGCACCUGUUCUGCCAGGCAGAAAUCAGCCAGUGAGAAGAGAGGAGGAGUAACGGUGAGAAGAUAGAUAAGGUUUUGUGAACUCUUACUCUGUUACUCUGGGCUGGGUAGAUGGCUAAGUGCACAAUCUUUGCAACUUUACCAGAACACUUUGAGGGAUGCACUUUCAUUACCCCCGUUCUACACAUGAGAAAACUGAAGAAGCUAAGUGUUAUCCAGGGAAGCAGACCUCAUAAGAAUGCAUGCAGUGAGAAGGUAUACUAGAGUUGACUGGACUGGAGAGCACAAGCUCUUACCAGCAACACUAUUCAGCUUCUCUGUGAAUGCCAUAGAGUGUGGUAUCAAUAAAUCCUCUUGUAGAAACCCUGUCUGCCUUCUGAACUGGCAGAGAAUGGGGUAUGUCCUCACCCAGAACAGCAAUCUAUUUUGUUACUUCUUGACUUUUAUUGGCAAAGCAUGCUCAGCCCAUGGGAAUGUAAGAAGCUUCUCUUCAUUCCACAAUGCAAUCAAGUAUUACGAUAGAGAGAGAGGUUGAAUAACUGUAAAAAUACACCCUGGAAGUUAAACAACUAGGUUGUAGCCCAGGCCCAUGUCACUUUGGAAAAGGCAGUUCCAGCUGGAAGAUUUUUGAAUAGGUGAUUUCUGAGAUCUUCUAGCUCAAACACAAACCAAAACUCCAGGCUGUGGAGACAGCUCAUCUUGGUUGAGUUCCAGUAUUUGCAUGUCUUGUGCAAAUUCCAUUACAUUAAUCUCCAUAUUCCUCAGAUAUUACAUUCAUAAAAAAUUUGUGAAAAAAUUAUAAAAAUGAUCUACCCCUCUUACAGAGUCACUGGGAAAAUUUAACAAAGCUGCGUGUGUACAAUGCAUCAUGCAAUACCAGCCACACAGUAGAUGUCUAAUAAAGAUUAGCCAUCAUCAUCACCAUAAUGGAGUCAUGAAAUAAAAAUAGUCAAGAAGGGCUGGCACUGUGGCAUAGCAGGUAAAGCCACCACCUGCUGUGCCAGCAUCCCAUAUGGGUACUGAUUCAGUUCCCGGAAGCUCCACUUCUGAUCCAGCUCUCUGCUAUAGCCUGGAAAAGCAGUGGAAGAUGGCCCAAGUCUUUGGGCCCCUGCACCCACAUGGGAGACCUGGAGAAAGCUCCUGGCUCCUGGCUUUGGAUCAGCCAAGCUCCGGCCAUUGCUGCCAUCAGGGAAGUGAACCAUCGGAUGGAAGACCUCUCUCUCCCUCUCUCUGCCUCUCUUUCUCUGUGCAACUCUGAGCUUCAAAUAUAUAAAUAAAUCUUUUAAAAAAGUCAAGAACUUGAUACUAAGAAUAUAUCUAAAAUAUAUCUUUUAAUCAAAUACUGACAUACACAUUUUUCCAUGGGACAGACAGAGCCACAUAUUGAGGUACAGAAGUUCCUGGAGUGAGGGUUUGUGAUCAGUGUUUCUGAGAGAAGGGGAUGGUUUGGUGGGAGGAAGAUGGCAGCAGACCAGAGAAGGAUAUCACAGUUGAAAUCUUGGGAAUAGGAUGGUGGGAUUUCCUGGAAGGGUGGGUAAGCCCAUGCCUGCUUAUUGAUGGCAGUGCAUUUAUUGUAAUGAAGUGUUGUUGGUGCUUGACAGCUCACUUGUUAAGACUGAUCGCUGAUCUUUGUUGGGGAAGCUGCUCGUCUGUGAUGAAGUCAGCUAGGAGGUCACCCUCUGAAUUGCCUUUAAACACUUUCUGAUGUCCUGAGAAAGGAGGCUUUUCUUGACAGUCUCAGAUUACCAACAACAGAAGACUGGAAGAAUGUAAAGGUGCCUGCUCAUCCCUGGUAAAUAGCACACACCCCCACCAUGCACUCACAAGGUCAGCAGCCUUGGAAAAUCCAUGAGUGUGUAACCACAUCCCCUGCCAGCAAGGAGGCAGGGUUGAGACAGAGUCAGGAGGGACUGUGGGGAGCAACUGGGAGCAACCCGGACUGGACUAAGUUACUGGAAUUAAGACUUAUUCUAUGCAUCUGCUCUCCCACAAUAUGGCGUUGGGAGAGAAGAAAACAGCUUAAGAAAACAGCUUCUACGCAGCUGCCUCUUGCCAACUUGAGUGAUGACCUCCAGGAGCUGAUCCUGCUCCUGAUUGGAGGAGAGCAGCGUACUCGGCGUGUGGGCAGCCAAGUUGGGAUUGGCGGAGGAGGACUAUAAAGGAGGAGAGAGACGGCAUGCACCAGGAACAUCUAAGGGGAACAUCUAAGAGGAACACCUGUGCAGCCCCCGAGAGAGCCGGCCGGCGGUGUGCCGCUCCCCCGCGGAAGUGGGGAAUGUGGCAGGGGGAACCGCCCUUCCACGGAGGUGGAAGGGACAAUAGCCAACCCGGGAAGAACCAGCAGCAAACCCGGGGAGGGCCGAGCAGACGAAAGAACAGCGCAGGGUCCUGUGUCAUUCCUCCACGAAGAAGGGGAGCGACAAGGGACCUGCUCCUGCUGCUAAAUGAACAACCUCUUGGUAAACCCUCAAUUUCUAGCACAUUUUCUAGAAUUUCUUGUGGGACACUUUAAGGAUAGGAUAACCUAAGACAAAACAAAAGCAAAUAAAGUUGUUUUUAAUCUUUGUUCUCUUCUGAAUGCUUGGAAGUUAUCAGUUGAAUUAAAUAGAAUUGUUUUCACCUGUGGGCAUUUUAUUGCCAUCUUUGAAGCAUUUUAGCACAUACAUAAUUUUAUAAUUCAUUUAUAUAAAAUAUAACAUGGAUUAUGUAUAUGAAAUAUAUAUAGGGAAUACAUAUGAAAUGUAUACACACAGACACACACAUAUAUAUACACAUGUAUGUAUACAUACAUAUGUGUGUAUAUAUAUAUAUAUUCCUUAGUGCUUAGCCCAUCAAGUGUGUAUUUGGAAGUGUUGUCAAUUCAGCUGAUGGAAGGUCAGACAUCCUCAGAGGAAGACAAGGCCUUAGGGGAGUUUGAAGUUUUCCGGGUACCUUCACACUGGUUGUCCAAAACUUCCCUCUCUCCAGUGUGCUACCACAGGCAGGCAUCACCCAUGUGUGAACAUCUUAGUCCCCUGAAUUAUUUUCACCUCUACAUGGGCUGCAUCUGAGGGUAACCCACCCACAAGGAUUACUAAUUAACCAUCACAGGGGAUUCCAAGGGGCUAGGCUCACUCAGACUGUGCUGAGUGGCUGCCAUCUUAUACUCUCUCGGCAAGUAGGUAGUCAAUGGUAUCCCCUUUUAAAAGGUGAAGAAGCCAGAGUUGAAUUUGGUUAAAAGACUCAUUGAAAACCAGAUGGCUGGUAACUGGGGAAUGAAUGGGGUUUGACUUUCUGAGCCCCACUGCCUUCCUGGGGUCAUGGCUCUGCUUUUCCUAGCCCUAAUUGUUCCCUAAUCUUUUGGGGCCUUGAUAUUUUUAAAUUUGUUCCAGUGAAGUUUAGAGGCUGUACUUUUUAAAAUAUAGACUUACAAGAUGUGAAGUAAAACACUAGACAAUGUAUAGAGCAAGACCAGCACUUAGAUUCAGUUACUUAGCUUCUGGGAAAACCCACCUGCUCAUACAAAGAAACAGAUCAUGUAUUUCUUAAUUCUGUAUUUUGACUACUGAGGGAAAUGUAGUUCUAUCAUGUAUAAAGCUGGUUUCCCAUGCCAUGUUUGUUUUGCAUUUCAUUGCUUUGUCAUGAAUGUUAAAUAUAGCAACAUGUGAUUAUAAUUAAUAUAUUUAUUCUUCCUCCUCCUGUUAUUAUAAUUAAUAUACUUAUUUGUCCCCCUUUAGACUGUAAACUCCUUUGGGAUCAGAAUCAUGUCUGACAUUUUUUCUCAUCAUCAACAUUUAACAAGUAUCAUAUAGAAUAGAUAAAAAACAUUUGCUUGUUGAAAUGUGAAUUAACUGGUAUGAGUAGAAUGUAGAGAUACUAUGCCCAACUGGAAUAGUGAUUUCCUACUUAGGGAAGGAUUUUCCCCUGGAAAAUAUGCACGAUUAUGGAACAUCCCUGUCAUAAGGACUUUCUGCAACAAUGGAGAUGUCCUAUCUGUACUGUCCAACUUGGUAGAUGCUAGUCAUGUGUGGCUACUGAGCACUGAGAGUAUGGCUAGUUCAUUGAGAAACUGAGUCUUAAGUUUUAUUUAAUAUUAAUUAAUUUAAAUACAUACAUGUGGCUCAUGGCUAGUAUAUAAGUUAUGGAGGAAGGAUUUAAAGAAACAUCUAAAAUGUGCUGAUAGUGGGAAAUAGUGUUUUGGUUGGUGUGCCCUUAAAAAAUCAUUUUGAAACUUACGAAUGAUGAGUAAUUUAACAAACACCUAGCAACUAUUGACUGGAUGAUGAUUGCUUCCUUUGUAGAGUAGGACCCUUGAUACUACUAAUUUGUAAGAUUAUUGAUGGAGUUAAAAGAGUAAUUAUGCAAAGUCCUUUAGCCUAGUGCUUAUUAAGGAUGACAGCUGUCAGUCUUCUCAUUGUUCUAUUGUUGCUUCAUAGUGAGCAUUGGAGAUGUGGACAGGACUGACAGUUUUUGGCCUCAAGUCCGGGGAGUGAGGACAGACAAGACACAUGGUACCCAGGGCACCCAUUCUGUCCCAGCUGUGUUGCUGACACAAGUUGGGAUGCUGCUGUGGCAUGCACAACUAAUUUGACUUUGUCACCAAGAGAGGACUUGUCUGACACGUAACACAGCUGGGAGAGACUCCCCUCAGGAACCUGUGGCUCGCUCUGACACACUUCAUCACUUGUAAUACCUUUCUGUUUAAUUGUUGUCCUGUGCCUAAUUGUGCUCAUUUUAUGUCAUUAAUCUCAUAGAAUUUUAGUAUGUGCUAUUAAACCUAGUUAAAAUGUGUUAAUCAUAGAUUCCAGGUGAAUCAUGUAUAGUCAAGGCCUGGAAGUAUCUGGGAACAUGGAUUACUUGCUACUAACGUUUCUUCUUUAAUGAAAAUGCAUGAGAAUAAGGACAGUAAGGGACCAUGGUCAGUUUAGAUUCUGAAAAAGUGGCCUGAGUAACACAUUAGAAGACUUACUAUCAGAGUACUGACGAUUAUUUUAUUUUAUUAUAGCAAAGCAUAAAAAAGAAGAUAAAAAUAUCCUUAACUGUUCUAAGUAACUUCAGUAUAACAAAAUAUGGAGAAUGUCUAUAAUGACAAAAAUAUUAGAACAGUUGGUGUGUAUUUUUGAAAGUAUUUAUUAUAUAAUUGCAGUCCUCACAGUCAUGGCUGUGGAAAGGAAGAAUGGGGGAAGGGAUGUGAGAUCUGCUGAGAAAACGAACUUUUUUUUCAAAGAAAUUGGCUUCUGAUUUGACAUUUAUGUUUUUAGGUCUGGGAAGAUUUAGGACUUGAGAAUGGAAAAUUGACUUUUAUACGUAUAUCCUUUCAAUGCUGUUGUUUUUAGAAUAGUUUCUCUGCUACAAUAUAUGAGUCUGCCAUGACUUUUAUGAGAAAAGAUAGGUCAUGCUCUCCUUUGAUAGACAUGUGAUAUAAACAUCAAGGUUAAAGAACUGUACACAUGACCUUUGAAAAGAAAGCAUUUCUGGUUCUGUCUUGACAACACCAUCACUACAGUCAUUCUUGCAGCUCCACCUGAAUAUAACAUCUAUAAAAUUAACCAUUUCUCAAGAGUAAGAGUUUAGAUGAGUGUCCUUCAGUAGAAGAAAACCCACUACGUGAAAAUUAAAAUAAAAGCAAUAAAUUAAUGCAGCAAAAACUCAUCAUAUAUGGGGGCCAGAACCUUCAAUUAUGUCAAACAUCGGGUGACAUUGUGGAGUGGAGAGUCCCAGGCAAGAGCCAAAUACACCUUGUAUUGAUUGAAUCUUGGUGCCAUCUGGUGGCACUAUUCUGCUUUGGCUUAAACAUAAUGAGAAUCUUAUAUCUAGUUGAAAAACAAAAACAUUUAAUUGUGUUAAUAAUCCUGAGGAGUUGGAGCUUCCAUGACUUUUUUUUUUAAGAACUGAUGAAGAGAAAUGUUGUGCUUUUAAUUCUGGCUUCCUGCUCACUAAGCCUUUUCUCAGCCUAGCAUCCAAAGUCAGGUGAGAUCCCUCCUGAGUCAUGGCAACUCCCAUCUUACUCUUGCUUCUGGAUGCUUUUCAGCCCAGGGAACUUAUUCAUGUACAUGUCAAUCGUACAAUUCAAAUUUUAAAAAGCAAAGACCAUGUUCCAAGUAUUUUGUCCUGGUUUCAGAUCAUGUUGACUAAUUUUGAGUUCAACAAAUAUGGUCAGCAUAUCCAUUAUUCCUCUCUGCUACAUAUAAAUGCAACAGAAUGUUGGGUGUAUUCCAACUCCUUUUUAGUUAACUUUAUAGAUAGUUCCCACCUGUAUUUUUUUUACCUAAUCAGAUUCAUAGAACCAUGUUAGUUCACAUCUUUUUCUGGUUGUCUCUAUGUAAAGAACUUGUUGUUUUCUGCACUGUGGGGUAAUGUUAUAAAUGACAUCUUUAUAUUACUGCAUGACCAGUCAUAUGAUGGUUGCCUAAAAAUAAUGAAGCAACACUCCUCUCAAACUUCUAGAUUUGUUCAAUGUGACUGUUGGAGACUACUAGAGCCUGGAAGGACUUGGAGCUUACCUUCCACCUCCCAUUUGGGGAGAUGAUGAAAGAGAAGAAAGGUUAUCUGUGCCCCAGGAAGUCCUACCUUCAAGAAGCUGACAGACUCUAAUGAUUGUAACAGAGACAGUCUUAUUUUGAAUACACAGCACAAAGAUUGUUCAUUCAGGACUUCAUUUUGAAGCAGUUGUCGUGCAUGUUCCCUGAGUGUGGAGGUGAUUUGAGAACAGACAAAGCAGGGUCUAGGGAUUUGCAAAUCAUAAAACAUCAGUAUAACAACAUAGGAGCACUGGCCAGAUGCUGGGGAGAUAUGUUCUUUAUUCACUCAACAAAUAUUGAGAAACUAGGAGGGGAAUUAAACAAGUUUGUACACAAAAUCUUUAAAGAUUUAUUUAUUUGUGUGGGGAGCAACCCAGACUGGACUGAGUUACUGGAAUUAAGACUUAUUCUAUGCAUCUGCUCUCCCACAAUAUGGCGCUGGGAGAGGAGAAAACAGCUUCUACGCAGCUGCCUCUUGCCAACUUGAGUGAUGACCUCCAGGAGCUGAUCCUGCUCCUGAUUGGAGGAGAGCAGCGUACUCGGCGUGUGGGCAGCCGAGUUAGGAUUGGCGGAGGAGGACUAUAAAGGAGGAGAGAGACGGCAUGCACCAGGAACAUCUGAGGGGAACAUCUACCUGAAGGAACACCUGUGCAGCCCCCGAGAGAGCCGGCCGGCGGUGUGCCGCUCCCCCGCGGAAGUGGGGAAAGUGGCCAGGGGGAACCGCCCUUCCACGGAGGUGGAAGGGACAGCAGCCAACCCGGGAAGAACCAGCAGCAAACCCGGGGAGGGCCGAGCAGACGAAAGAACAACACAGGGUCCUGUGUUGCUCCUCCGCGAAGAGGGGGAGCGACAAUUUGAAAGGCAGAUCAAUAGAUAUGAGGAAGAGAGAGAGAGAGGGAGAGGGUAUAGGGGAGAGAGAAAGAAAGAAAGAGAAUCUUCCAUCCACUAGAUCACUCCACAUUAUAUAUAUAAUGUAUAUGUAUGUAUAUAUAUAAUCUAUAAUCCAUAUAUAUAAUCUAUGUAUAUAUAAUCUAUAAUAUUAUAUAUAAUAUGUAUAUAUGUAUAUAUAAUCUUCAGAGCCAAUAACAAGAGAUCCCUCAGAUGUGUAAAAGCCAACAUAGAAACACAAGAAAUAUGAACAAAGAAAGCAAUAUAACACCCCAAAAGUAACACAAUAAUGCAUUAAUAUUGGACUAUGAAGAAAUAGAAAUUGACUAAAUGCCUGAAAAGAGAUUUGAAAGAAUGACAGAUUACUCAACAAGACAGAAAAAUAUUUACAUGAAAUAAGUAAGUCUGUACAUGACAUUAAAGAAGAAUUCUUCAGAGAGAUGGAUAUAUUGAAGAAAGAUCAAACAGAAAUAUUAGAAAUGAAGUAUUCGAUAACAAAAAACACAGGGCUUAGCACUGUGGCAGAGUGGAUAAAGCCACUGCCUACAGUGCUGGCAUCCUGUAUGGGCACUGGUUUGAGUCCUGGCUGUUCCACUUCCAAUCCAGCUCUCUGCUAUGGCCUGGGAAAGCAGUGGAAAAUGGCCCAGGUCCUUGGGCCUUCGCACCCAGGUGGGAGACCUGAAAGAAGCUCCUGGCUCCUGGUUUGGAUCGGCAUAGCUCUGGCCAUUUCAGCCCAUUGGGGAGUGAACCAGCAGGUGGAAGACCUCUCUCUGCCUCUCCUCUCUGUGUAACACUGACUUUCAAAUAAAUAAAUCUUAAAAAAAAAUGAAAUAAAAAAAUAGUGGAAAGCCUUAACAACUAAGUUGAUGAGGCAGAAGAAAGAACAUUUGGCCUAGAAAUGGGUUUGUUCAAAUAUCUCAGUCAGACAAGAAAAAAAAAAGGAAUUAGAAAGAGCAAAAACAGUGUUUGGUAUCUGUGGGAUACCAUCAAACAGCUAAAUAUACGAGUCUUAGGGGUAUAGAAAGUAUAGAAAAAAAGAAAGACUUAGAAAACUUAUUCAGUGAAGAAAUAUAAAAAUUCUACAAUUUGGACAUCCAAAUACCCUAAAUUUGCAUGGUCAGAAAAAGAUCAUAACCAUGAGAGAUUGAUUAUAAGUUUGAUUAUAAUUUUUCAAAAAUAAAACAUAAAGAGAAUAUCCUAAAAUAUGCAAGAGAGGAAUGCCAUUAUCAUAUUUAAAGGGUUUUCCAUUACAUUAAAAGCAGAUUUCUCUUGUUUAUGGAGUCAGUAAUCACCCUAGGCUCUGUUAAGUCAACGACAGGAGUCACUAUGCACUUACUCCUCAUGUAGGAUCUCUGUCCUAAAUGUGCUGUACAUUGUGAUUUAAUGCUAUAACUAGUACUCAAACAGUAUUUUACACUUUGUGUUUCUGCGUGGGUGCAAACUAUUGAAAUCUUUACUUAAUAUAUGCUAAAUUGAUUCUGUAUAUAAUGAUAAUUGAAAAUGAAUCUUGAUGUGAAUAGAAGGGGAGAGGGAGCGGGAGAGGGGAGGGUUGCGGGUGGGAGGGACGUUAUGGGGGGAAGCCAUUGUAAUCCAUAAGCUGUACUUUGGAAAUUUAUAUUCAUUAAAUAAAAGUUUAAAAAAAAGGCAGAUUUCUCAACAGAAACCCUACAGACUAGGAGAGAAUGGAGAGACAUUGUUCACACCCUAAAAGAAAAAAACUGCCAACCCAGAAUACUUUACCUAAUGAAGCUCUAAUUCAUAAAUGAAGGUGAAAUAAAGACCUUCCAAGACAAACAAAAGUUGAGAGAAUUUGUUACCACCUGAUAAUUAAGUGUAUAUUACAGAUGAUAAUUAAGGAUAUAAUACACAUAGAAACAAAGAAAGCCAAUUAGCAGCAUGAAAGAAAGUAAAGGAAGAAAACCUCCUAGUAAAAGUACAAAGGAAACCAAAACAAGCAAUAGGAAUAUUAAGGGGGCAAUGGCAGGACCAAGUUGUUACUGAUCAAUAAUAAUAUUAAAUGUAAAUGAACUAGUUUUCCAAUUAAAAGAUUGGCUAAAUGGAUUAAAAAACAAGAUACAUCUCUACAUGAUGCCUACAAGAAGCAUACUUCAUUAGUAAAAGUACACACAGACUGAAAGUGAGAAGAUAGAAAAAGAUAUACUAUGCAUAUGGAAAUAAAAAAUGAGGCAGGAGUAACUAUUCUCUUAUCAGAUAAAAUAAACUUUCAGACAAAACUGUGAAAAUAGACAAAGAAGGUUCUUAUGUAAUGAUUAAGGAAUUAAUUUGAUGUGACUAUAGUAACGCUUAUGCUUCCAAUGCCAGAGAACCUGGUUUUAUAAAACAAAUGUUAAUGGCUGGCGCCACGGUUUACUAGGCUAAUCCUCUGCCUGCAGUGCCGGCACUCCAGGUUCCAGUCCCAGUUGGGGUGCCAGUUCUGUCCCGGUUGCUCCUCUUCCAGUCCAGCUCUCUGCUGUGGCCUGGGAAGGUAGUGGAGGAUGGCCCAAGUGCUUGGGCCCUGCACCCACAUGGGAGACCAGGAAGAAGUACCUGGCUCCCGGCUUUGGAUCGGUGCAGCGCGCUGGCUGCAGUGGCCAUUUGAGGGGUGAACCAAUGGAAAAGGAAGACCUUUCUUUUUCUCUCUCUCUCUUUCUCUCUCUCUCACUGUCUAGCUUUGCCUGUCAAAAAAAAUAAAAUAAAAUAAAACAAAUGUUAAUGAAUCUCAAGGGAGACAUUAGCUCUAGUAUAAUAAUAAUUGGGGGCUUUAGCUCCCCACUUUUACCAAUGGACAGAUCAACACGACAAAAAAUCCAAUUAAGAAACAACAGAACUGAUCUACACUAUGGACCAAAUGGACCUAACAGGUACCUACAGAAUAUCUCAUUCCACAGUUGCAGAAUACACAUUCUGUGCAGCAGUGCAUGGAACAUUCUGUAGGUUAGACUACCUGCUAUGCCAUAAAACAAAUCUCAACAAAUUAAAAAAAGGUGAAAAUUGUAUCAUGUGUCUUUUCUGAUCACAUGGAGCGAAGCUGGAAAUUAGCAACAAACCAAACUCUGGAAAAUAUACAAAGAUGCAGUCGGCGCCGUGGUUCACUUGGUUAAUCCUCCACCUGUGGCGCCAGCAUUCCAUAUGGACGCCAGGUUCUAGUCCCGGUGGCUCCUCUUCCAGUCCAGCUGUCUGCUGUGGCCCUGGAGUGCAGUGGAGGAUGGCCCAAGUGCUUGGGCCCUGCCCCCUCAUGGGAGACCAGGAGGAGGCACCUGGCUCCUGGCUUCAAAUCGGUGUAGCACUGGCCGUGGCUGCCAUUUGGUAGGUGAAACAAUGGAAGGAAGACCUUUCUCUCUGUCUCUCUGUCUCUCUGUCUCUCUGUCUCUCUCUCUCUCUCUGAAUAACUCUGUCAAAUAAAUUAAAAAAAAUUUUAUACAAAGACAUAGAGACUGAAUGACAUGCUGCUGAAUGAAGAGUGUGCCAUAGAGGAAAUCAAAAGGAAAAUCAAACCAUUCCUUGAAAUUAAUGAAAAUACAAACACAACAUUUUAAAACGUAUGGGAUAUAGAAAAAGUAGUAUUAAGAAGAACGUUUAUAGCAAUAACAGCCUAUAUAUAUAUAUAUUAUAUAUAUAUAAAACGGUAUCAAAUAAACAAUCAAACAAUGCACCUCAAAGACCUAGGAAAAUAAGAACAAACCAAACCCAAAUUUAGUCGGAGGAAAGGAAUAAUGAUAAUAAUAAAAACUACCAAAGACCAGUGAAAUGAAGAGCCGUGUUUUUGAAAACCUAAAUAAAAUUGAAAAACUGUUGGCCCAACUAACCAAAAAGUGGUGGGGGAAAGAAACUCAAAUUAACAAUCUUGGUGUUGAAACUGGAAAUGUUACACCUGAUACCACAGAAAUAUGAAGAAUAAUUACCAGUUAUUCCAAAUAGCUAUCUGGCAACAAAUUGGGAAAUCUAGAAGAAAUGGAAAGGUUUCUGGACAUAUAUAAUUUGCCAAAAUUGAGGCAAGAAGAUUUAGAAAAUCAGAAUAGAUCAAUAACCAAGACUGGGAUUGAAUAGUAAAGAGCCUCUUAACAAAGAAAAGCGCAGGACCAGGUGGUUUCCCUGCUGAAUUCUACCAAACUUUUAAAGAAGUAAUCACUAUUAGAUCAUUCAAAAAAAUUGAAAGGGAAGGAACUCUUCCAAAGUCAUUCCAUGCGGCUUUAGCUCCCCACUUUUACCAAUGGACAGAUCAACACGACAAAAAAUCAAAAAAAAUAUGGCUACCAUUACCAUAAUUCCAAAACCAGAGAAAGAUACAUCAACAAAAAAGACAACUAUAUACCAAUAGCCUUGAUAAUUGCAGAUGCAAAAAUCCUCACCAAAAUGCUAGCAAAUCUAAUCCAACAACACAUCAAAAAGAUCAUUCACCCGGAUCAAGUGGGAUUUAUCCCUGAUAUGCAGGGAUGAUUCAAUACUCAAAUCAAUAAGUGUGAUAUGUCUCAUCAACAAAAUAAAAGAUAAAAACUGUAUGAAUAUCUCAAUAGAUGAAGAGAAAGCCGUUGAUAAAAUACAACAUCCUUUCAUGAUAACAAGAACCUUUUAAAAAUUGAGUGUAGAAGGAACAUACAUCAACACAAUCAAGGCAAUAUAUGACAAGCCCACUGCUAGCAUCAUAUUGAAUGGGGAAAAGCUAGAAGCAUUUCCACUAAGAUCUUUGUAUCUUCAACAAAUGGUAUGGGGGACAUUGGAUUUCCACAUGCAGAAGCUUGAAACAAGACACAUACCUUGCACCCUAUAUAAAAAUCAGCUUACAAUGCUAAAGGAAUGUAAACCUAAGACUUAGAACCCUCAAAUUACUAGAGAAAAACCUAGGGGAAAUGCUGUAGGACAUUGUCCUAGGUAAAGAUUUCUUGAAUAAGACCCCAGAAUCACAGGCAAUAAAAGCAAAAAUAGACAAAUAGGAUUAUAUCAAAUUAAGAAACUUCUUCACAGCAAAAGAAACAAUCAACAAAGUGAAGGGGCAAAAAUAGAAUGGGAGAAAAUAUUUGCAAACUAUGAAUCUGAUAAAGGAUAAUAUGCAGAAUAUGUAAGGAGUUAAAGAAACUCAACAACAACAAAACAAGUAAUCCAGUUAAGAAGUGGGCAAAGGGAGGCCGACACUGUGGCACAACAGUUCAAGCCACUGCCUGUAACACCAAGCAUCCCAUAUGAACACCAGUUCAAGUCUCAGCUGUUCCACUUCUGAUCCAGCUCCCUGCUUAUGCACCUAGGAAAGCAGUGGAAGAUGAUCCAAGUAGUUGGGUCCCUGAACCCACAUGGGAGAUCCUGAAGAAGUUCCUGGCUCCUGGCUUUGGCCUGCCCUCCCCCGCCCUUGCCUUUUAAAUAAUAAUGUUUUAAUGGGCAAAGGAUAUAAACAGGCAUUUUUUGAAGGAUGAAGGACAAAUGGCUAACAGACACAUGAAAAAAUAAUCAGGGGCAUGAGCCAUCAGGGCAAUACAAAUUAAAACCACAAUGAGGUAUCACUUCACCCCAGUUAGAAUGCCUAUCAUCCACAAAAUAACAAAUUCUGGUAAGGAUAUAGAGAAAAGGGAACCAUAAUAUACUCUUGGUAGGAAUGUAAACUGGUUCAACCAUUAUGGAAGACAGUGUGGAGACUCCUCAGAAAACAAAACCUAGAUCUACCAUAUAACCCAACUAUCCCACUCCUGGGAAUAUAUUCAAGUGAAAUUAAAUCAGCAUAUGAAAUCGCGACCUGUACUCCCAUGUUUAUAGGAGCUCAUUUCACAAUAGCUGGGAAAUGGAAUCAACCUACAUGCCCAUCAACCAAGGACUGGAUAAAGAAAAUGUGGUGUGUGUGUGUGUAUAUAUAUAUAUAUAUAUAUAUACAUAUUAUAAAAUGGAAUACUACUCAAUCAUAAAAAAAUGAAAUCCUGACAUUUAAAACAAAAUUGAUAUAACUGGAGAUCUUUAUGCUAAGUGAAAAAAACCACAUUAUUAUAGAUAAAAAUUGUGUGGAUGUCAGAUCAUUUGCUUUGUGAUAAAUAUUGAGCCACUGAAUCAUACUAUGUAAAUGACAAUAUACACUUGUUUCACAUGUUUUGAAAAAAAAGAAAUGGAGAGGGGAGGAAUGGUAAGGACUCUUAGGAUCCUAGUAAUGCUUUGUUCUUAAUUUGGAUGUUGGUUAUGAGUGUAUUCAGAUGACAAAACAAAUCAUUUGGGGCCGGUGCUGUGGUGCAGUGGGUUAACACCCUGGCCUGAAGCACCGGCAUCCCCUAUGGGCACCAGUUCUGGUCUCUGCUGCUCCUCUUCUGAUCCAGCUCUCUGCUGUGGCCUGGGAAAGCAGUGGAAGAUGGCCCAAGUCCUUGGGCACCUGCACCCAUGUGGGAGACCUGGAAGAGGCUCUUGGCUUCUGGCUUCGGAUCUGCAUAGCUCCGGCCGUUGCAGCCAACUGGGGAGUGAACCAUGGAAUGGAAGACCUCUCUCUCUCUCUCUCUCUCUCUCUCUCUGCCUCUUCUCUCUCUGUGUAACUCUGACUUUCAAAUAAAUAAAUCUUUCAAAAAAUCACUUAUCCAUACACUUAAUCUUAAAAAAUGUCUUUUUUAAAAUAACAUCUUCCUUCAAACUCUGUAUAACCUACUGGUAUUCCUUAUUAGGUUAGAAAUAAUGGCCUUGAACCACCCUUUCUACUCUCCAAAUUAUUGGGUAGUUAUCUAAGCUAUGGGAAUCAGAAGACUUUACUGGGGUGGGUGUUUGGUGUGGUGUUUAAAAGUCACAGCUUGAGACACCUGUGUCCCACAUCAGAGUGCCUGGGUUUGAAUCUCAGCUUUGCUUCAACUCAAGCUACCUGCUAAUGCACAUCCUAGGAGGCAGUCGGUGACAGUCCAAGUGCUCAGGUCCCUGCCACCCUGUGGGAGGCCCAGAUUAGAUCAGGGUUCCCAGCUUUGGCCUCACCAACCUCUGGCUGUGGUGGGUAUUUACAGACUGAACCAGUGAAUGGGAGAUACCUUUCUUGGCCUCUCAUUCUAUCUUUGUCUCUCUUUCACUGUUUUCUCUGCCUUUCAAAUAAAAUGAAAAUAACUUUAAAGACUUUACUAUCUCUGGUCAAUAAAAUUUUAUUGUAUUCCACAAGGCACGAUUCAUGGACCUAAGCAAAAAAAGGAAUCAGGAAGCAAAUUAGAAUGUAGUUACUUAAAAUGUGAAUGAGAGAAUUUAUGACAAAGUGUUUGAUUAUAAAUCAUUCUUUUUAGGGUGAUGUUUUAGCAACUACAGGCAUUAAUUCAACAACAGUGAAUCUACUAAGCAGCUUGACUAUUUUAUGUGCUGUUGCCACCUUCAAGGAUUUCCAGAUUAACAAGACUAUUUUUUUUAAGAUUUAUUUGUUUAUUUCAAAGGCAGAGUUACCAAG